AUUGAACGCUGGCGGCAGGCCUAACACAUGCAAGUCGAGCGGUAGAGGAGAAGCUUGCUUCUCUUGAGAGCGGCGGACGGGUGAGUAAUGCCUAGGAAUCUGCCUGGUAGUGGGGAUAACGUUCGGAAACGACGCUAAUACCGCAUACGUCCUACGGGAGAAAGCGAGGGGACCUUCGGGCCUUGCGCUAUCAGAUGAGCCUAGGUCGGAUUAGCUAGUUGGUGAGGUAAUGGCUCACCAAGGCGACGAUCCGUAACUGGUCUGAGAGGAUGAUCAGUCACACUGGAACUGAGACACGGUCAGACUCUACGGGAGGCAGCA
rnacentral:rRNA from 1 species